CACGUAGGGGGCAAGCGUUGUCCGGAUUUAUUGGGCGUAAAGAGCUCGUAGGCGGCUUAGUAAGUCGGGUGUGAAACCUCCAGGCUCAACCUGGAGACGCCACCCGAUACUGCUGUGGCUAGAGUCCGGUAGGGGAGCGUGGAAUUCCUGGUGUAGCGGUGAAAUGCGCAGAUAUCAGGAGGAACACCAGCGGCGAAGGCGGCGCUCUGGGCCGGUACUGACGCUGAGGAGCGAAAGCGUGGGGAGCAAUCAGG
rnacentral:rRNA from 1 species